rnacentral:rRNA from 1 species
UACGAAAGGUGCAAGCGUUACUCGGAAUCACUGGGCGUAAAGCGCACGUAGGCGGACUCGUAGGUCAAUUGUGAAAUACCUGGGCUCAACCCGGGAACUGCAGUUGAAACCGCUUGUCUUGAAUACCUGAGAGGGUGGGGGAAUACCUGGUGGAGAAGUGAAAUUCGUAGAGAUCAGGUGGAACACCGGAGGCGAAGGCGCCUGCCUGGCAGUGUAUUGACGCUGAGGUGCGAAGGUGCGGGGAGCAAACAGG